rnacentral:sRNA from 1 species
CACAGCACGAGAUGACCAAUAACCCAACUCCUACGUCGUUCGGGUUAUUGGGUCAUCUCGUGCUGUG